rnacentral:rRNA from 1 species
CUUGCACCGGUGAUUAGUGGCGAACGGGUGAGUAACACGUGAGUAACCUGCCCUUGACUCUGGGAUAAGCCUGGGAAACUGGGUCUAAUACCGGAUAUGACUCCUCAUCGCAUGGUGGGGGGUGGAAAGCUUUUUGUGGUUUUGGAUGGACUCGCGGCCUAUCAGCUUGUUGGUGAGGUAAUGGCUCACCAAGGCGACGACGGGUAGCCGGCCUGAGAGGGUGACCGGCCACACUGGGACUGAGACACGGCCCAGACUCCUACGGGAGGCAGCAGUGGGGAAUAUUGCACAAUGGGCGAAAGCCUGAUGCAGCGACGCCGCGUGAGGGAUGACGGCCUUCGGGUUGUAAACCUCUUUCAGUAGGGAAGAAGCGAAAGUGACGGUACCUGCAGAAGAAGCGCCGGCUAACUACGUGCCAGCAGCCGCGGUAAUACGUAGGGCGCAAGCGUUAUCCGGAAUUAUUGGGCGUAAAGAGCUCGUAGGCGGUUUGUCGCGUCUGCCGUGAAAGUCCGGGGCUCAACUCCGGAUCUGCGGUGGGUACGGGCAGACUAGAGUGAUGUAGGGGAGACUGGAAUUCCUGGUGUAGCGGUGAAAUGCGCAGAUAUCAGGGAGGAACACCGAUGGCGAAGGGCAGGUCUCUGGGCAUUAACUGACGCUGAGGAGCGAAAAGCAUGGGGAGCGAACAGGAUUAGAUACCCUGGUAGUCCCAUGCCGUAAACGUUGGGCACUAGGUGUGGGGGACAUUCCACGUUUUCCGCGCCGUAGCUAACGCAUUAAGUGCCCCGCCUGGGGAGUACGGCCGCAAGGCUAAAACUCAAAGGAAUUGACGGGGGCCCGCACAAGCGGCGGAGCAUGCGGAUUAAUUCGAUGCAACGCGAAGAACCUUACCAAGGCUUGACAUGAACCGGAAACGUCUGGAAACAGGCGCCCCACUUGUGGUCGGUUUACAGGUGGUGCAUGGUUGUCGUCAGCUCGUGUCGUGAGAUGUUGGGUUAAGUCCCGCAACGAGCGCAACCCUCGUUCCAUGUUGCCAGCGCGUAAUGGCGGGGACUCAUGGGAGACUGCCGGGGUCAACUCGGAGGAAGGUGGGGACGACGUCAAAUCAUCAUGCCCCUUAUGUCUUGGGCUUCACGCAUGCUACAAUGGCCGGUACAAAGGGUUGCGAUACUGUGAGGUGGAGCUAAUCCCAAAAAGCCGGUCUCAGUUCGGAUUGGGGUCUGCAACUCGACCCCAUGAAGUCGGAGUCGCUAGUAAUCGCAGAUCAGCAACGCUGCGGUGAAUACGUUCCCGGGCCUUGUACACACCGCCCGUCAAGUCACGAAAGUUGGUAACACCCGAAGCCGG